rnacentral:lncRNA from 1 species
AACACAUGUUUUGUACUUGGUACACAAGAAAAACCCAGCUUUCAUCCUUUGUAUGAGGUCAAUAUUAAUGUCACUGAAUUAAUUACAGUGUCCUAUAGAGAAUGACAUUAAUAAAUUAUAUGAAGUACUAUACAUUAUGUAUAUUAAAGAAAUCUUAAUCCAGAGAUAAGAUUAUCUUCUGUUUUUCUUUAUCUGAGCUCUUUUAAAAAUACUUGCUUGGUAGAAGAACACACACUGUGUUUUUAUGUAUAUGGCCAUACAUUUCAAAAGUCCCACCCUAGGACAGGUGCGGUGGCUCACACUUGGAAUCCUAGCCCUGAAAUGGAAGGAUUGCCUUGAGUUUGAGGCCAGCCCGGGAUACUGAGUAAGACUUUUUCAAAAAUAAAACCCUAAGACCUGCGCUCACAGUAAACAUUCCCUGGUUGUAAAGCAUGGCAUGUUCCUGGUGCAGUUCUCAUACUUGUUGCACUUGUUGUAAAGUGUGGACAUGUGGGUCAGCAGGUACCCAUCACACAAGUCCAAGUUUCCGUCUUUUGGAUUCACUUCACAAUUACUGUCUGCUAGCUGUGUGCGGUGGUCUGUGAAAAGUACAAAGAUGGAUAAUAUCUCAGCAUCUAUCUCAGUAAGGCUAUGUAGGUAGGGAGAUGGCAAAGCGGCCCAGCUAGAAACAAGGCCUCCUGGCCUAAGGAUGAGAAACCAGCCUUAGUGUCAUAUAGGGACACAGCUCAAAAAGUUUUCAAAUCUCUCUUUUUGGAGUUCUUUUUGGCGUGUUUUUCAGCAUGAGAACAUCACAUUUCAGUUUGGAGAGCUAAAUUUACUUCAGUAAGUCAUAAAAGGUUUUAUACUUUUUCUUACAAGUUAUUUUAAUUUCAAAGAAGCUCUCAAGCCACAGUAUCAGACAAGUAGAGGGCUUCCCUUCUCUCCUUCAUGAAAGGACUCUGCAUUGCUUUAUUAACAUUAAAUUGAAAGCAUGCAUAGGGUUGGUUCCAAACUCUUUCUCUUUUGCUUGUUUUUGAGACAAAGUCCUAUUUUGAACCCCAGGCUAACCUGGAACUAAUUACAUAGCCCAGUUUAGCUUCAAAUAUGUGAUAACUCUGUCUCAAGCUUCCAAAUUCUGGGAUUCCAAAUGUGUGCAACAUGAUCAUCAAUAAAUGCUUACGGAAGCAGACAAGUGCUAAUAAGGUCCUUAAAUGGGCCUGCAUGG